rnacentral:lncRNA from 1 species
UCUUUGAAAAUCAUUCCAUUAUAUUAAAUGAAAACACAUGCAAAGCCAUACGAUACACCCUCGGCCGGACUAGCCCCCCCCCACCCCUGAAUCUUUAUCCUCUACCACAUGUUGUUGGGCUUGAUGAAAUACUUACACUUUGAAAGGCAGUGCCACGCUUGUGAUUAAAAUGUCUGUUAAUAUCUCCAGGGUAGCUGUCCAGGGAUAAUAACAAGAGUCCGGAGAAAUGAACCACACACUUCAUUACCCCAAAGUGACUCAUAAACACUCCUGAGGUUAGAAAAACAUGAUUUGGUGCCAGCGGUCGGUGUGUGGAGGUUACAGUAGGACAGCGGUAGUUUUUUCCCCUAAAUGUCCAACCUUCUCUCCCCUAAGCCUCCCUGGGUGUGAAAAGACGUUGAAACUUGCCGACAGGUAGACCUCCUUGGUCCAUCUUCGUGUAUCAGCAGCUGUGUUGCAUUUUAAAAGAAUGGGAUUCCAGCUGCGUACACUUUGGACCUCGGCGGCUGAUGUGGUGGGGUUUUGUCGGGCCGUGCGUCGAUUCGUGCCCUGGCUGCGAACGGCAGUAGGAGCAGCUGUUUCUCUACUACGCAUUGUUGGUGACACACAGCACCCUCGGAAAACUGAGAAGAGAAGGCAAGAGGAGUCGAUGCUGACACAAAGUUGUACUGGUCCCUACACUUGGGAAACACGUGGAAAAUGUGAAUAUAACCUGUGUCAUGGCAUUCUCACAAAGGUCUUGUGAAUUUGAUUGAAUCAGUGUCUGUCCCCCCCAGGACAGAUUUUCCCCACACCCUGUUGCUAAAUGUGCAAAUGUGUGUUUUUCACAUAGUGUCGUAUGGCUCUGGGUUUUAUGUUGCAUUUAUUUCCAAAACGUUGUGCGUUUGCAAUGUUGUUGCCAGGUCUCUAUUGAAAGGGAGAUUGUUGAUCUCACUGAGACAAACCUGAUUGAAGAUGCAGUUUUGCAAUGAACAAGAUAAUUAAAAAAGCUCCCAUUUUGGGCUGCAUGUGUAAUAUGUUGUUUAAGUAGAGUCACCGUCAUCCCUCAGUUAGCAAUGAAAUGACAACUGAACGCAAGUAGUUUUGAUGAGAAGUUCAAAAUCGAAUGAAAAAAGAGUCAAAAGUUGUGUCUCCCACC